GUCUUUUUGGUAUUUAAUAUAAAGUCUGACCUGCCCACUGAAUAUUGUUUGAAGGGCCGCAGUAUUUUGACUGUGCAAAGGUAGCAUAAUCAUUAGUCUUUUAAUUGAAGGCUGGUAUGAAUGGUUGGAUGAGAUACAAGCUGUGUCAUAAAAAUUAAUAUUUGAAUUUAACUUUUUAGUCAAAAGGCUAAAAUAAUCUUAAAAGACGAGAAGACCCCAUAGAGCUUUAUAUAAUAUAUAUUUAAUUUAUUAAGAUUUAUUAAAUUUAGUUAUUUUGUUAUAUUUUGUUGGGGUGACAAUAAAAUUUAUAAAACUUUUAUUUUUAGUUAACAUUAAUUUAUGAUUAAAUGAUCCAGUUUUAUUGAUUAUAAAUUUAAGUUACCUUGGGGAUAACAGCGUAAUUUUUUUUGAGAGUUCUUAUCGACAAAAAAGAUUGCGACCUCGAUGUUGGAUUAAGAGUAAUUUUGGGUGUAGAAGUUCAAAAUUUAAGUCUGUUCGACUUUUAAAUUCUUACAU
rnacentral:rRNA from 1 species